rnacentral:rRNA from 1 species
UACGGAGGGUGCAAGCGUUAUCCGGAGUCACUGGGUUUAAAGGGUGCGUAGGCGGAUAUGUAAGUCCGUGGUGAAAUCUCUGGGCUUAACCCGGAAACUGCCAUGGAUACUAUGUGUCUUGAAUGUUGUUGAGGUGAGCGGAAUAUGUCAUGUAGCGGUGAAAUGCUUAGAUAUGACAUAGAACACCAAUUGCGAAGGCAGCUCACUAAGCAAAUAUUGACGCUGAGGCACGAAAGCGUGGGGAUCAAACAGG